rnacentral:misc_RNA from 1 species
AACGCACAUUGCGCCCCCUGGUAUUCCGGGGGGCAUGCCUGUCCGAGCGUCAUUGCUGCCCUCAAGCACGGCUUGUUGUUGGGUCUGCGUCCCCCCGGGGACGGGCCCGAAAGGCAGCGGCGGCAUCGCGUCCGGUCCUCGAGCGUAUGGGGCUUCGUCACCCGCUCUUGUAGGCCCGGCCGGCGCCAGCCGACCCCAACCAUUUUUCUCAGGUUGACCUCGGAUCAGGUAGGGAUACCCGCUGAACUUAA